rnacentral:sRNA from 2 species
UUGAUUUCUUGGUAAUACUUUGUUGUACUUUGUAACCGUGUGUCGAGAGACGCCAAUUGGGUAGAACAGGUAUUGCCGACAUAAGGUUUUACUUAAGGUGGCUGAGAAAACUCUACGCUAUGCAGUGCUAAAGCUCAACGAGUGGGGAGGUCC